AGCUGCAGUUGACAACGGAAAAGACGCCGGAGUGUGAAGCUGCUGUUAUAAUAUCAUUGAUUAAAUUAAGCAACUAAAAUGCUACGCCACUUUGUGAGUUCGGAAAGUAAAUUUGCCGGCCUGUUGGGCAGACAGACACGCCCACAACGCGGCUAUCACAGCAAGAAAGGCGUCUGGGGCUAUCGACCCAUCGACAAGCGUGUCUUCGAAGUUGCGGAGGAGGUGAAGCAGGCAAGGAACUCGCAGGGCAAUGUCUAUCGCUGGGUCGAGGCUUUUCGCCAGCACGGACACAAAUUGGCUGCCGUAAAUCCCAUCAGCAUCAAAGAGCCCAACAGCGAAAGCGAGUUGCAGGAAUUAAAUCCCGCAUUUUAUGGACUGCAGACGCAGCAAGCGGUGCGCACCGCCAACCUCUUAAAUGCUCCCACGGAUGGCCGGAAUAUUCAGAAUGUUGCCCAGUUGGAGCAGCUGCUUAAGGACAUUUACUGCAGCAGCGCAGCGAGUGCUGAGUUUGCCUAUGUUGAGGAUAUCGAGGAGCGCGAAUGGCUGGCCCGCAACUUUGAGACACUAAACGAACAUCAGCUGCAGUCGACGGAGCGUUGCGAAAUCGCCGAGCUGCUAAUUAAGUCACAGGCAUGGGAUAAUUUCAUGGCCCUCAAAUUUCCCACGGUCAAACGUUAUAGCGGCGAGGGUGCCGAAUCCAUGUUGGCCUUCUUCUGGCAGCUUCUACGCGACAGCGUUCAAGCGAACAUCGAGCACGUGGUGCUGGCGAUGCCCCAUCGAGGACGCACCUCGCUGCAAGCGGCAAUGCUCAACAUGCGCCCGGCAAAAGUUUUUCGCAAACUAAGCGGCACAUCGGAGUUUGCCGACGACGUCGACGCCAUGUCGGACGUCAUAAGUCACUUCCAUGUUUCCGAACAGCUUCAAGUGCUUGGCAAGAGCAUUAACUUUAGCAUGGUUCGGAAUCCCUCACAUCUUGAGGCAGCUAAUCCGGUGGCCAUGGGCAAGACACGUUCCAAGCAGCAAACUCGUGGAGAAGGCGCCUUCAACAGCGAUGCCAAGGCUCGGCCCUUUGGCCAGCACGUGCUCAAUGUGAUACUGCACGGCGAUGCGGCUUUUGCCGGACAGGGCAUCAAUCAGGAGUGCCUCAAUAUGGCCUAUGUGCCGCAUUUCGAAGUCGGCGGCAGUUUACAUCUCAUUGUGAACAACCAGGUGGGCUUUACCACGCCUGCUGAGCGUGCACGCUCGACUGCCUAUUGCUCCGAUCUGGCCAAGUCCAUACAGGCCCCGGUUUUCCACGUCAAUGGCGAUGAUCCCGAGGCUGUUGCUCGCGUCACCAAUUUGGCAUUGCGCUAUCAACGCGAGUUCCGCAAGGACAUCUUCAUCGAUCUGAACUGCUUCCGUCGCUGGGGUCACAAUGAGGUCGAUGAUCCAACCUUUACCAAUCCCUUGAUCUAUCAGAUCAUUCAUCAGCGCAAGUCUGUGCCCGAUCUCUAUGCCGCCCAGCUGGCGGAUCAAGGUGUCUUAAGCGCGGAGCAAGCGAAUCAGCUGCGUGAAAAGUAUCUUGCUCAUCUUGGUGAGGAAUUGGCACUGGCUCCAACCUAUCAGCCGCCUCCUUCCUACUUCGAGAAGCAAUGGGCUGGACUCACUUCGGCGCCGUCUAGCGAACUUACCUACUGGGAUACAGGCUUGGAUUACAGUCUACUCCACUGGAUUGGCCAACAGAGUGUGACUUACCCCGCUGACUUUAAUGUGCAUCCGCAUCUGCUGAAGACUCACAUCCAAGGGCGGCUAAAGAAACUGGAAGCCGGCAAUAAAAUCGACUGGGCCACUGCGGAAUCAUUGGCCAUUGGCAGCCUCAUGUAUCAGGGCCACAAUGUGCGCAUCAGUGGCGAGGAUGUGGGUCGUGGCACCUUCUCCCAUCGCCAUGCCAUGCUGGUGGAUCAGCAGACCAACGAUAUGCACAUCCCGCUCAACCACAUGGAGGGCGGCAACGGUGGCAAACUGGAACUGGCCCACAGUAUUCUGUCGGAGGAGGCGGUGCUGGCUUUUGAGUAUGGCAUGGCCAUUGAUAAUCCACAGAACCUGAUUAUCUGGGAGGCUCAAUUCGGUGACUUUGCCAAUGGUGCCCAAAUCAUAAUUGACGCCUUCAUAGUCUCUGGCGAAACCAAAUGGAUGGACUCAAAUGCACUGGUCAUGCUGCUGCCACAUGGUUACGAUGGUGUUGCCUCGGAGCACAGUUCCUGCCGCAUGGAGCGCUUCUUGCAGCUCAGCGACUCCAAGGAAACCGCACCUGACGGGGAUGCCGUCAAUGUGCAUGUGGUUAACCCCACAACUCCAGCCCAAUACUAUCAUGUGCUGCGUCGACAGCUCGCCAGAAACUUCCGCAAACCAUUGGUGGUUGUGGGACCCAAGACGUUGCUACGUCUCUCGGCAGCCACCUCAACCCAUGAGGACUUCCAGCCCGGCACAAUGUUCUACAAUGUGCUUGGUGAUAACACUGUGCAGCCGGAACAGGUGCGCAAGGUCAUCCUGUGCAGCGGCAAGCACUACUACAACCUGGCCGAGGAGCGUCAGAAGCGUCAGGCCAACGACACGGCCAUUGUGCGCCUCGAAUCCCUCUGCCCCUUCCCCGUGCAGGAGCUCCGAGCACAACUGGCGCAAUACGGUAACGUGCGAUCUUUCGUGUGGAGCCAGGAGGAGCAUCGCAACAUGGGAGCUUGGACAUUUGUGCGGCCACGCUUUGAAAAUUUAAUUGGCAAGCAGCUCCAGUACUGCGGUCGCUCCGAGGCACCAACUCCAGCCACUGGCAUCGGCAAAGUGCACAGACGGGAAGCUGAAGAGGUUGUUGCUGCCCCAUUUGAAGUUUAGUAAGCUGCCACCGACCCCUCCUCACUCCAUGCAUCACAAAGUACUUUAGCUCAAUAAAACCCAGGAAAACAGGAAAAAACAAUUGUGGAUACGGCGUGGAAGGCGGCACCGAAAACUUCCAUGUGGCAUUACAUAAUAAUUCAGCGUAUGAAACAAAAAAGAGAAAAGUCAAAACUUUAUGGCAAAGUUUUUAAUUGUUUGUUGGCAUUGUGUCCAGUGUACAUCAAUUCCUAUUUUAACCUUUAAACUUGUCCAUAAAAAGUCCAAGGUUUAAUGCUAGGCAAUUUUUUGAAACAGACUUUCAAUUGGAAUUGUUUAAGCAGCGAAGUGACCUUACUUAAGUAUGUAUAUAAUAAUAAAUCGGAGGAUUUAAU